UUAAAAGUUUUGAUAAGGAUAAGGUUUAAUAAAAACGACUUUUUAGAGAGGAAAUCCUCGGCUGUAAGAUUUCUAAGAACGCUUAUUAAAUUACUCCCUUUGAACUGGACUUGAAAAAGAUUCCCGCUGGCUGCGUUAAAGCUGAAUUAAGUUGCUGAUAAAGUCUUUUACUUUAUCGGAAAUAGGAUGGUACCGCGAUUUCAAUCGUUCCUACU
rnacentral:ncRNA from 1 species